CCUACGGGAGGCAGCAGUGGGGAAUUUUGGGCAAUGGGCGCAAGCCUGACCCAGCAACGCCGCGUGAAGGAAGAAGGCUUUCGGGUUGUAAACUUCUUUUCUGAGGGACGAAGAAAGUGACGGUACCUCAGGAAUAAGCCACGGCUAACUACGUGCCAGCCGCCGCGGUAAUACGUAGUUGGCAAGCGUUAUCCGGAUUUAUUGGGUGUAAAGGGCGUGUAGGCGGGAAAGCAAGUCGGAUGUGAAAACUCAGGGCUCAACCCUGGGCCUGCAUUUGAAACUGUUUUUCUGGAGUGCUGGAGGGGCAAUCGGAAUUCCUGGUGUAGCGGUGAAAUGCGUAGAUAUACGGAGGAACACCAGUGGCGAAGGCGGAUUGCUGGACAGUAACUGACGCUGAGGCGCGAAAGCGUGGGGAGCAAACAGGAUUAGAUACCCCUGUAGUC
rnacentral:rRNA from 1 species